UCAUAAUGCAGCGGAUCCGCAUGGAUAUGUUGUUAAGGUUUACCGCCUUGGGAUAGGCUUGCGUCUGAUUAGCUAGUUGGUGUGGUAAUGGCACACCAAGGCUACGAUCAGUAACUGGUCUGAGAGGAUGAUCAGUCACACUGGAACUGAGACACGGUCCAGACUCCUACGGGAGGCAGCAGUGAGGAAUAUUGGGCAAUGCACGAAAGUGUGACCCAGCAACGCCGCGUGGAGGAUGAAGGUAUUCUAUAUCGUAAACUCCUGUGAGAGCAGACGAAAGACAGAUUAUUAAUUUGGAUGACUGUAUGCUCAGAGGAAGCCCCGGCUAACUACGUG
rnacentral:rRNA from 1 species